CCAAAACACUCAGUAAUAAAUUUUUAAACAUUUAAUGCACGGCGUGCUAGCCAAGUAAGCAACGCAGACUCAUCCCCGAACGGCCGUAGGUUCACUCAGAACAGCUCCCGCUCCUAGAGAACAGCUGCGCGUGGAGAGUUUUGGUCCUCAUCUGGUUCUUUCCUCCGGCCGGCAGGCGCGGCCCCGCGGGGGCGGGUGGGGCCCACCUGCGCCUCCUGGGGGGCGUGCAACCCGCCGCAGUGAGACUCAGUCUGCUAACCACCGCCGCCGCCACACCUUAGGUCACUUUGGCUUCUGAUGUUUUCAUUUCCCUUGCUGAGGUGCUGCUUCUGGGUUAAAGUCAUCUUAUUGCCUGUCCAUUUGUAGACAGGACAAGGUCGCUCGAAUAGAUCAGGAGUUGAGCUCAGAGUGGGCUUCCCUGGUGGCUCAGACGGUAAAGCGUCUGAUCCCCUGGAGAAGGAAAUGGCAACCCACUCCAGUACUUUUGCCUGGAAAAUUCCAUGGCCGGAGGAGCCUGGCAGGCUACAGUCUAUGGGAUCACAAGGAGUCGGACACAACUGAGCAACUUCACUCACUCCAGCUCAGAGUAGGUCAAAGGUACACACAUGCUGGGAGUGGGCAUCAAAACAGAAGGAGGGUUGCCAAGUACAGCCAGGACUAGGUUUUCACCGUGUAUACUUAAUAAAGGCCAGAAUCUCAUCUGUCUCUGGUGGUCGGGUCUGUUGGUUUCACUGGAUCAAAUUCAACCGGAUCCAAACCAGUUCAUGGAAUAAAACACUCUGGACUUCGGUGGCCACUGUUCCCAUCAAGAAAGGAUGGUCGAGUUUGGAAAUAAACAUAUUGGAGAGCUGUAAACACCACAAACCUAAAAACAGGUCACAAGGCUGAAACUGGGCCUAAUUAGACCUGAAAGCAAGGAAAGAAUUCAGCUUCUCCAGCUGACUCUCCUAUGGACUUUUGAUGGUUUACUGCAGCUGGAUUACAGGCACUUCUGAAGGUACUGAGAGUCCUGUGGUGAGUCUUCCAGGCAGUUCUGGAUAAGAAGCACUUUCCAGACUUCAAGACGGCAGAAGAGAAGUGCAAGAGUCAACUUUGAGUCAAACUCAAAGUCAGAUCAUGACAAAGACACCGAAGGCAUAGAUUCUUCAUUUGAGAAGGCCAGUUGGAGGAUAAGGUAUGGAGAACUGUGGAAAAACACCCUUUAUCCUUUGAUUCUCUGAAGAAAGAACACCAGUUACAGGAAGAAGAGAGAAGAACUACAGACAGGUGAGGUGCCCUUCAGGUUCAAGGUGCACCCGUUGCCUUAAUUUGUCAUCAUUGAUCUGCUAGAGAAGGUGAAGAAUACAACCAAGCCUGAAGGCCCAGAUUCAGAAUCAACAGCUGGAGGAAGGACUAAAACAGCAGAAAGCAGCAGCUUGCUUCGAGGCUAGUCCAAACACCACCAUCUACCUCAAGCCCUUUUGUAGGGAAAGAGCAAAUUAGCCAAGAUGGCGUGGUCAGACCCUCUCUCUCUUGCCCCAAAUUUUAUAAACAAUGAUUAUGUAACAUCUGAGCUCAUUUCUAGCACUGCGCGUGCACGUCAGGAGGUACUCGCUUGGCCAAGGG
ensembl:lncRNA